rnacentral:rRNA from 1 species
UACGGGGGGGGCAAGCGUUGUUCGGAAUUACUGGGCGUAAAGGGCGCGUAGGCGGCCUUCUAAGUCGGACGUGAAAUCCCUCGGCUUAACCGAGGAACUGCGUCCGAUACUGAAAGGCUUGAAUCCGGGAGAGGGAUGUGGAAUUCCAGGUGUAGCGGUGAAAUGCGUAGAUAUCUGGAGGAACACCGGUGGCGAAGGCGGCAUCCUGGACCGGCAUUGACGCUGAGGCGGCGAAAGCUAGGGGAGCAAAGCGGG